rnacentral:lncRNA from 1 species
UGCCACUGACAAGGCAAGGCAUUUGCGGAUCUGGUGGGGUCAGUACUGCUUUUAAAAAUCUAUAAUGGGCUGGGAUGGGUCGAAUUAAAACGCUUUGAUCUAGGUUUUCUGCUCCAUAGUCCAUAUAAGCAGUCUCCGUUGGCCAGAGAUUUUCAGCGAUAACUGAUUCAUCGAGAGAAAUCAUUGCCAUCGGGCUUCUCACUGGAGACUUCAAUAACUGCUGAGUUUUUCGAAAGGAACCUGUAAGUGUUUUAUUUAUUUGGGUUAUCUUUUUCUUCAAUUUAGAAGAUAGUCAGAUUGAUCCUUUACAAAACCUUUAAGAUGUGCGGUAUUGUAUUUCAAUGGAAUUUCUCGAUAUUCUGUUAUGCAAGUCAUUUUUUCCUAUUAAAUCCACACGUUUUACUUGGCAAAUGCAUCAGUAAAUAAUUAACUCGUGGUUUGUGAAGGGAACAAUACAGUUAGCACUUAUCAGUGCAACCUCUAUUCAAACACAGAUAUUGGAUUUUUUGAGUUGGAAGACAAGAUGCCAUUAGCAGUGUCCUUGUUGUGCCUGCAAGUUUGGAUAGAGCUAAGAAUGGCCUCCACUAAACCAGCGAGCUGAGCUUGAAAUGCUAAAGUCUAAGGGCCUCAACAUGAUGCCCAACCAUAUGUGAAUUGCAAUAGAGAUUGAUGAAGCUGAGCUUAUUUUUCUAAAAUUAGAAAUAUUUAUGCAGAUGUGGACGAGGGACAACUGAUGUGAUUGCAUGAGUUUAUUCGAUCAAAUUCGAUAUUGGUUUGAUGGAAUUCCUUGUUUUGCUGGAAAUUUGUCUUAGAGAAAGCUCACAACUUAUGAGCAACACUUGUCUAAUUUACGUCCCAAAUGUUUCUAAUAUCGACUUAUCAACUCAGACAAAUAUGUGAUUUGCUUCGCCUGCAUCGAAUCAUCAUUAAAUUCACAUCUUUGUCUGAGUUGAUAAGAUGAUCCAUGAGACAUGUAUACUCCGUGAAAGAUUUCUCAAGAUGGUCUCCAUUGCAUCGAUGGCUUCUAAACAAGGGAUUUCCAUCAAUCCAUUUUCGAACUUGAUAUCGAAUAAACUUGUGGGAUAACCAACAGUUUUCUUUUUCCAAAUUUGUAUAAAUGUUUGAUUUUUGAGAAGUUAACUCCAGCUUCAUCAAGCUCUCUUGCACUUUGAACGUGAAGAUAUGUUGAGUUCCUUAGUUUUUGUCAUCUCUUUUGAUGUAAACAUCUGCAAACGAUUACUUUACUUGCAACAGGCUAUCCGUGCUCACCACCACAUGAGAAAGCUCAGCUCACCAACUGACUCGUCUGUAUAAGGUACCUAUCAUUAUUGCUGACUUAUCAGCUUUUACAUCUUAAUUAGUUAUUCUUUUAAUUCUUGUUGAACUCAAAAAAGGCAAAAGAUAGUAAUAGUAUAUUACAAUUCUAUGAAGCUGCUAAAAAGAAAAAUGUCAAAGAAUUCCUCCAUCAUAGAAGUAUUGUGGAAAAGCUGACUAUAUUGCUUUCAGUGGUUGGUGAACCUUUCAGAACUGACAUAUUAUCUUAUUGGUGAAUGCAAUACUCAAAAAUGUACAAGUGACUACUGAAAGAGUAACACAAGAAAUAGAAGAUCUGAGGUUUUCCUUGCUGGUA